UCCAUCGGCAAAUGUUAAAAAGCCUUGGGUCCAAGUCCAUUUUAAACUCUGUGUAAAACAAAGAAACUAGCCGCGCCUUGAGAUGGAGUAAUCCGAUCUGUUGAUCUUUGACGUCACGAUUAUACCCAUAAUGCACUCGGCGGCCAUAUUGUAGGGCAACAGAUUGAAACGUGGAAGCGUAAACAAGAGAGGGUUAUUUAAGUUACAGCAAGGAUAUGGUUAAUACUUGUGUUGUGUGGGGUUGUAACAACCGGUCAGUGAGUGGAGAUGAAAACAGACGCUUUUAUGACAUUCCUAAAAUUGUAAAACAUCAAGGAAAGCAGACGGAAGAGUUGUCAGCUGGCGCGGAUCAACAGAUCAGAUUUCAACCCGAGAAACGUCAUUUUAAAGUCUGUUCAGAUCACUUCGUUUCAGGAACAAAGGCUGAACUCUAUGACAAGACUAUUUAAAACCUGACUGGGCACCCUCUCUUAAGUUAGGACCUGUGGAACAAGAUCCAUCGAUAACUUUAUCAACAAAGAAGAAUUACGAGAGAGCCCAAAGCCGUGAUGCAUGAAAAUUGGAAAAGACACUGUCAAAACAGGCACUAGAUUUCCAGGAUGUUGAAAGACUUGAGGAUUGUGAUGUGAACUAUGAACUGUGAACUGUGCAAGUUUAGUUACAUUGGACCACUGGAAGCACUGGCACCUAGAGAGGAAGACAAAAGCAAUAAGGAAGACCCAGACCUACUCCACAAGAUGCAUUGUGAAGUGCAGAGGCAGUAAAACUGCAAAGAGUGAUGAAGCAACCGAUCCUCCAUGAUAAUUGCACAUUGGUAUCAUGAUAAUGGACAGAUAUCUUCAUUUGAGAACAUGAACCUCAAACCCAGUGCUGGUCAAGUUGAAAAAAUAGUAUUGCAUAAUAUUCUCAUUGAAGGAAAAUCACAUGUCCAUUGCCUUGCCAGGGUGAAGUGGUUAUGCAAAGUAAACGAAACAGUUUGACAUUAUUUUGGUAAACCAGUUGAAGUUUGGAAGGCCAAUAUGUAUGGCUGUGAAGGACCUGCUAGUUUUAUUCCCAUUCAAAGAAUAAAAUCCAAAUUUGUA